CCCCUGCUGAGUCGAGCUGGCUGCUCUCUCCCGGAGAGAGCAGUCAGGAAGUAUGCCCAUCACAUCAUGUUCUGCCAAGCCAAGUCUCAUAUGAGCUCAGCCUAGAACAGCAGGAGAUCAUCCUGGAGCCACCUGAUCUGGAGCAGCCUGAGGAUGAAAGUGCACCUCUGGUGACACAGCACACACCUCAGCAGAUCACAUCACCAGAUGGCCCGACAGCCCAAUGACCUUACCUUUUCUCUGGACACUUUCAGAGACUAACAGGUGUCUUUUAUGGAUACACAAACCCAGCAAUUGCACAUUGUGGAGCAGCACCUUCACAGUAUGGGCCUGCAGCUAAACAAUAUGGGCUACCAACUAAAAAAAAAUAACAAAUGUCAGCAUAGCAGCAGAAGUCACCCAUACACGAAUGGACAAUAAUCUAAACUCCCAACUUUUUGACCUAACUCAAGCAGUUAGGGCACAAAUUGAGGCCCUUCAUCUCUGCAAAGACAUUCAAUAGGUCAAAGACCCAGUAUGGAAGCACCAUCGGAAUCUACUGUGGGUAGAGAGCUGUCUAACCCUAUUACCACAUCACCUCCCACCUCCCAGGAGUGAAAGGCCUAGGUAGAAGCCAUGGAAGUUCAGGGCCAGAAAUAUAACAGUUCAUCAUAUUUUGCUGUUACAAAAAAUGUUUUUGUUGUUUUUGCAAAACACAGUAAAUUCCUGUUUGCCACUA